CCCCAUCUCGUGUAUCAUAAAAUUCGCUCUGCCACACAAACAAGCAUAACAAUGGCUCGAUUUGCUGUGCUCUUGUUGUUGGUCGCCAUGCUCGUUAUAUGUGAAGGAAACACAUCAACAUUUGUAAGCAGGCAAAGAAGAUUUGGCUGUCUGGGACAUGCUUGCAGCAGUAAAGCCGAUUGUUGCCCGUCAUCAUCAUUGUGUUAUGAACAACAAUGCAAAAAACCUUUUGGGAAGUAGAUAAAUCUCAGCCCAUCAGUCUCAGAGUUUCCUGUAAUUCAUUUGAUGUAAUUCAAGCGAAUGCCGUAACUGUCACGCAGAUAGUUAAUA